CUCAGCCUGAGAUGUUGAUGCUUCCAUCUCCUCAGGUUCUUUCUGCCUGCUCUUCUUAGCCCUGCGCCUGAGAAGUCUGACUGAGUCACAUGCCAGAAGUGGAAGCCGGGAUGGAGUGCCUUGCGAUGCCUGUGACGGGCUGGACUGAGCCCUUGAGGAAGGUCUGGAAUCUUUGCUGAAAGAUUCGUUGGCUUUGGGCAACUUCAGCACUGCAGCCACACGAUGGGCUUUUUCCGCUUCCUGUUCUUCCUCACGGAAGCUCACGUGUUUGGUUCCUGGGGCUCGGCCCAGGUCUUCUUGGCUGUCUGUUUCUGCCUGGCCCUGCAGCUGGCAGGUCAGCGGCUGCUUUUGUUCUUCAGGCACUCCAGGGAUGGCUGGCAGCAGACUGAAAGGACAGAGCAGGAGGGGUCCGCCUGAGUGGAUGAUGGCUUUGGGGCCGCAUCCUGCAAGCCGGAGCCAGGACCCUUGGCUGCAACGCAGCCUUCCCCACAGACAGCUCAGCGGCUGCCCCGUGGCUCUCCCCCGUGGGAUCCAGAAACAGGGACCCUUUGUGGCUAGGGAAUGGGCUCUCGUUGGCUCAGUCAAUCACCCCCAUGCACAUGCCAAGCCAGAGCCUCCAGCCUCACCUGGACGUAGAGCUCUCCUUGCGCAGUAAGCUCCUUAUCCUUCGGAGUUUUCCUCCAUCUAGACUGUCCGAGCUCAAGCGUUUGAUGAAAGUUGGCUUGCCAGCAAAUCUCACUGGGAUUGGGAAGGCAGAGGAGACUCACCAUCAACCCUUUGGCUCACUUACAAGGGGCGCUCAGGCCUGUUCCCAGAACAUGCGUGAGGGCCGCUCUGCUCCCCCCACUGCUGACAUCUGUGCCACCCGCGGACCCUCCCUGAAACCAUCUCUGGCCCCACUCCUCCUCUCUGCCAUCUUGGGACUCUCUUUUGGGAGUGCAUUAGUGACGGUGGCUUUGGGAAAGCGGAGCUGGGUGGUGACGAUGAGCUGACAGGGUGACUUUUGGGGACCAUAUCCUUCUGUUGGGGGAGGGCGGGGCCUGAGGUGCCGAGGUGCUCCUGCCAUAGCCAGGGAUGGG
ensembl:lncRNA